CCUACGGGUGGCAGCAGUGGGGGAUAUUGCACAAUGGGGGGAACCCUGAUGCAGCGACGCCGCGUGUGGGAAGACGGUCCUCUGGAUUGUAAACUACUGUUCCCAGGGACGAAAAUGACGGUACCUGGGGAGGAAGCUCCGGCUAACUACGUGCCAGCAGCCGCGGUAAUACGUAGGGGGCGAGCGUUGUCCGGAAUUACUGGGUGUAAAGGGAGCGUAGGCGGGGAUGCAAGUUGGGUGUAAAAACUACCGGCUCAACUGGUAGUCGAACUCAAAACCGGAGCUCUUGAGUGAAGUAGAGGCAGGCGGAAUUCGUAGUGUAGCGGUGAAAUGCGUAGAUAUUGGGAGGAACACCGGUGGCGAAGGCGGCAUGCUGGGCUUUUACUGACGCUGAGGCUCGAAAGUGUGGGGAGCAAACAGGAUUAGAUACCCCGGUAGUC
rnacentral:rRNA from 1 species